UACGGGGGGGGCUAGCGUUGCUCGGAAUCACUGGGCGUAAAGGGUGCGUAGGCGGGUCUUUAAGUCAGGGGGGAAAUCCUGGAGCUCAACUCCAGAACUGCCUUUGAUACUGAGGAUCUUGAGUUCGGGAGAGGUGAGUGGAACUGCGAGUGUAGAGGUGAAAUUCGUAGAUAUUCGCAAGAACACCAGUGGCGAAGGCGGCUCACUGGCCCGAUACUGACGCUGAGGCACGAAAGCGUGGGGAGCAAACAGG
rnacentral:rRNA from 1 species